UGCGCAGGCGGAUAUGAAAGUCAGAAGUGAAAUCCCGGAGCUCAACUCCGGAACUGCUUUUGAAACUCCAUAUCUAGAAUCCGGUAGAGGUCAGGAGAAUUCCUAGUGUAGAGGUGAAAUUCGCAGAUAUUAGGAGGAAUACCAGUGGCGUAGGCGCCUGACUGGGCCGGUAUUGACGCUCAUGUACGAAAGCGUGGGGAGCAAACA
rnacentral:rRNA from 1 species